rnacentral:rRNA from 1 species
AUUGAACGCUGGCGGCAUGCCUUACACAUGCAAGUCGAACGGUAACAGGUUAAGCUGACGAGUGGCGAACGGGUGAGUAAUAUAUCGGAACGUGCCCAGUCGUGGGGGAUAACUGCUCGAAAGAGCAGCUAAUACCGCAUACGACCUGAGGGUGAAAGCGGGGGAUCGCAAGACCUCGCGCGAUUGGAGCGGCCGAUAUCAGAUUAGGUAGUCGGUGGGGUAAGAGCCCACCAAGCCAACGAUCUGUAGCUGGUCUGAGAGGACGACCAGCCACACUGGGACGGAGACACGGCCCAGACUCCUACGGGAGGCAGCAGUGGGGAAUUUUGGACAAUGGGCGCAAGCCUGAUCCAGCCAUGCCGCGUGCGGGAAGAAGGCCUUCGGGUUGUAAACCGCUUUUGUCAGGGAAGAAAAGGUUCUGGUUAAUACCUGGGACUCAUGACGGUACCUGAAGAAUAAGCACCGGCUAACUACGUGCCAGCCGCCGCCGUAA